UACGGAGGGGGCGAGCGUUAUUCGGAAUUAUUGGGCGUAAAGGGCGCGUAGGCGGCUUGAUGUGUCAAAGGUGAAAUCCCUCGGCUCAACUGAGGAACUGCCUUUGAAACUGUCUGGCUUGAGGCCGGGAGAGGGUAGCGGAAUCCCCAGUGUAGCGGUGAAAUGCGUAGAUACUGGGAGGAACACCGGUGGCGAAGGCGGCUACCUGGACCGGUUCUGACGCUGAUGCGCGAAAGCGUGGGUAGCAAACAGG
rnacentral:rRNA from 1 species